GACGAACGCUGGCGGCGUGCUUAACACAUGCAAGUCGAACGGAGAGGCCCUGCUUUUGUGGGGUGCUCGAGUGGCGAACGGGUGAGUAACACGUGAGUAACCUGCCCUUGACUUUGGGAUAACUUCAGGAAACUGGGGCUAAUACCGGGUAGGAGCUCCUGCUGCAUGGUGGGGGUUGGAAAGUUUCGGCGGUUGGGGAUGGACUCGCGGCUUAUCAGCUUGUUGGUGGGGUAGUGGCUUACCAAGGCUUUGACGGGUAGCCGGCCUGAGAGGGUGACCGGCCACAUUGGGACUGAGAUACGGCCCAGACUCCUACGGGAGGCAGCAGUGGGGAAUAUUGCACAAUGGGCGGAAGCCUGAUGCAGCAACGCCGCGUGCGGGAUGACGGCCUUCGGGUUGUAAACCGCUUUCGCCUGUGACGAAGCGUGAGUGACGGUAAUGGGUAAAGAAGCACCGGCUAACUACGUG
rnacentral:rRNA from 1 species